GCACCGGUGGUGCAUGGAACACACACGCAUAAAGUACAUACUCAUUGAUUUCACUAAUCGUGAAUGGGGUUCGAUUCCCCGCUGGUGCA